GAGGGUGUAGCUCAGGGGUAGAGCGCAUGCUCAGCAUGCACGAGAUCCUGGGUUCAAUCCCCAGUGCCUCCA
rnacentral:tRNA from 1 species